UCUUUUUGAACUUUCAAAAAUAAGAGACGAAACAAAUACAGAUAAUUAUAGACAAGACAAAAAAACACAUAAAAAAAUCAUUCAAGAAGCAAAAUAAAAAAUAUAACAACAUAAGAUAGCUUGGGAAAUAAUAGGCAAAAAGAAAAAGGCUCGGGGACCUUAAAAGAGCUUAAUACGAUAAUCAUAGUUGUCCAAAUGCAUUGAAUAAAUACUUUAACACCGUUGCACAACAAUGUAAUACAUAUAAUACAACUUCUACAGAUUCUUUUGGAACAAUUAAAUCCAAAAAAGCUAAUAGUUUCUCUUUUUCUUUAGAACCGGUUACAGAAAGAGAAGUCUUAAACACAUUAUAUGGAUUUGAAAAAUAGUACAGCAAGUAUACCAGAUGAAAUAAACUCAGUGCUUUUAAAACACGGUGCUACACAAUUAACAAGAAUACUAACAACUUUAAUAAAUAACUCAUUUAAAUCUGGUAAAUUUCCGAGCUUGCUAAAAAAUUCUAAAAUUUUCCCUCUUUACAAAAAAAGAUAAUCCAACAAGAAGACCUUUGAAAAAACUAUUGUAAAAAGACUAAGUAUUUUUCUACACAAAUUGGGGUUUAACCAUUCAAAUCAACACAGAUUCACCAAGGGAAGGUCGACGUCAACUGCGAUCAUCGAAUUUUUAGUUCAUCUCUAUGAAAAUAUCGACAUUGCAAUUUUUAAAGAUUUGAGUAAAGCAUUCGAUCUUGUCAACCAACAUAUAUUAUUAGAUAAGUUAUGGCACAAAGGAAUCAGGGGAGUAGCAUGGGACUGGCUUAAAAGUUAUCAUGAAAACAGAACCCAUUACGUCGAAAUAAAUGAUUAAAAGUUGAGUACCAAUAACUUUUUAUUAUAAUGUACCUAACACUUUCCAUCACUAUAACUGUCCGCUGUUAACAUCUUUUAAGCUACACAAUUGUCUUGGUGUUAACUUAGGGAUAUAUUUUAUGUCAAGCUUAAUAACAAAAGUGUAAAACUAAUAACUCUGACAUAUUAUUCCUAAUUAUGAUACAAAUUUUCUUUAGUUUAUGUUUUCUUUCAUUUGUAUUUAUUUAUUUUAUUUUAUUUUGUUAUGUAUUACUGCAUUGUGUUUCCACUGUAGAUGUAGUUGUCUGUUGGAAAAUGGUUAUAUAUUAUUAUUAUUAAAAAAAAAUUGAACAAUCCUAACCACAAAAAUUUUGUUAUUGAGGAGAACGUGUCAACGGAGGGCGCUACGAAUUUCAGGGCAGCGGUAAAAAAAGUUGGCUUUACGUUGGAAGAACGAACACAAAUACCAAGUGUAAGGAUGUGACAAACUUCCUGGUCGAAAAAUAUCCCGGGAAGCAGUUUGUUGUAGAAAGGCCUGCGCGGAUUUGGAUUUCUUGGAAGAUCAUUUAAAACUCGAUAAUAACCUCAAGGUUCCUGAGAUCAAUAUAAGUUCGAUGUGGUGUGCAUUACGGAGCACUGGCAAACCUUAAAUACUCUGGACUCAACAUAAACAUGGAGAAGUUGCAAUCUUCGCAAGGAGUGGCGUCACUGUGUUUGCUUGGAUAAAUUUUCGUCCAAUUUGGAAGCAGAAUUCUGCGCUAUCAUCAACACGAAAACAGUGAUUGCAGGAAUUUAUCGCACAGACCUAGGGGUAUUAAUGGAGCAGAAUCCAAGUUAGUUGGCAGAGAAGAUUCGUGUCAUCCUUAUGAAGCAGAGAUGGAGAUUUCUUAGGUUCAGUGGAAAUAGCUGUAUCAUCAUUUUCCGAUUCAGAUUCACUAUUAUCAUCUAUACGGCGAUGAGAAUCAGAAAAAUCAGAAAAACGCCGGAAAUUUCUUGCAGCUUUAUUUAUAUUACCGAUAUCACCUGGUUGAUUAUAAGUGAAAGUGUGUGUGUUAUCAGCUAUUGUUUUUAGACCUACACAUGACAUUCGUCUUUCCCGCACAUCAGAAUUUUCUUCUUUAUAAGUGGACGAAAUAGAAUUCAUAGGUAACACA